UGUUAUUAAAAAUGUAAAUAAAUAAAAAUAGAGUAGUAUUAGUUAUAUUCUUAAAACUUAAUAAAUUUGGCGGUAUUUUAAUCUAUUCAGAGGAACUUGUUUUAUAAUUGAUAAUCCUCAUUAAAUCUUACUUAAUUUUGUAAAAUUUGUAUACCGUCGUCAUAAGAAUCUCUUAAAAAAGAAAUAAUUUUCUAAAAUUUUAAUUAAUAAUAAUGUCAGAUCAAGGUGCAGUUUAUAGUUAAGAAAAAAUGAGUUACAAUAAAAAUAUUUAUUACGGUUAGAAAAUUUAAAUAUUUUCUUUAAGGUGGAUUUGAUAGUAAAUUAAACAAUAAAAUUUAAUUGAUUAUAGUUCUAAAAUAUGCACAAAUCG
rnacentral:rRNA from 1 species